AAGCAUGGAAGCAGGUGGCUUGGCUAUGAGGCUAUUGCUGUAGUACAGGAGAGGGAUGACAGUGUCCUGGACUAGAAUGACAGCAGUGGAUCUGAGGACAAGUGUCUGGAUUCUAACAUGUUUUGGAAGAUUGCCGUGAGGAUUACUUAAAAUUUUUUUCUUUAUUUUAGAGACAGAGAGAGCACACAUAUGCAUGAGGGAGAGUGGAAGAGGGAGUAAGAGAGAGAAUCCCAAGCAGGCUCCACAUUCCGUGGGGAGCCCCAUGUGGAGCUCGAUUCCAUGACCCUGGGAUUACGACCUGAACUGAAACCAAGAGCCAGAUGCUCAACUGACUGAGCCACCGAGGCUCCCUACUGUCCAAGAUGUGGGAGCCAUGAGGAGAGGGGCAGAGUAAUCCUGGACAAGGCCAUCCUACUAGCCAGCCCCCAGCCACCCUGCCAGCUGACCACAGAUGCAUGAACAAGCCCAGAGCUGCCUGGAGUCAUUUCCUGCAGGAAUUUCACGUCUUCCCAUUGAAGUGUUCCAGCAGCUGGUAACCAAAUCAUCAACUCAGGCCAUGGGUGAUUCUCCAGGCUCCAAUUACAAAUCAGAAGGAAUAAAGCAGUCUGCAUAUUUCCCACGUUGGGUGAGGACACACUGACUUCUGGAGAGCUUGAAUCAAUAAGCUGAAAGAAAAGUUCAAACUCCAAUUUCAGAAGAACUUGGCUUCUGCGUGUUAAACUAUGGAUUCAUAGAUUCUUCUGCCUUGUGGGUCUUCUGCUCUCUGCUGUCCUUGACAGCUUGCACCAAGCUGAUCACUGGGGACAUCAAUGGACUUCUGAAUGAAGACAUUGUCUGACAAGUAUAAUAGACGAGCAUGAAACGCAUACUGUUCUGCUCUUUUGAAUAUAUUACAUUUAUUGAGAACUACAAUUAAGUUAUGUAUUUUUAUCAGUAAAGCACUUUAUUGAUUGUGGACGUGAAGCUGAGUUCUUUCAUGUUUUGGCCAGCUCUAAGGACACAUGCACCUAGUGGUUCAAAACAAAUUGACCGGCAUGAUUACUGAGCCUGUGAUGAAUUGUAAGUGUAUAGAAAUAUCAAACAUUGGAGUGCGUUAUUCUGUACAACAUUUGUUCUAAUUUUGUGUUCAUUUUAAUGAUAAAUGAAACAAAUUAAUAGAAGUAUUGUGUUCAGGAUCUGGAGUCAGACUUUAUGGGCUUAAAUUCUAUAUACAUGGCAUGGAUUUGAAAAUGCUAUUGAAGUUCUCUGAGCCCCAGUUUGCUCAUCUAUAAAAUCGUGAUCACAAUAGCAUCUUUCUCAAGCAGUAAAUAAAGGCAUUCAGUGGGAUAGUCUAGAUAGAGAAAGGUGCUUGACACGUAGUAAGUCGUCUGUAAAUAUCAGCUAUUAAUAUUAUUAUCAUCAUUGUCAUUUGGACGAUCACCGUACAACGAAGUAUCACCACAUGAUUUUGCAGUAUCUGCAUUUAAGUCCACGUUGAUGCCAAGAAGCACGUGCAUUGUCACAAGUAAAUAAGAAAGGAAGAGAGGUUGGAAUUAAUACAAAACGGAUGCAUUCGUGCCAAGGAAAGCGCAAAUGACAUGAUGUUUUAUUGUACAAAUGGUGGUUUCGAAGUGGUUCGGGGUGGGAAAAUGGAGUGGUGACAGAGCAAACCUCAGAACAGGCACGCUGAGUUGUAAAGAGCCUGCGUUACAGCAGUCAACAUCGAAUUUACAUCCUGAACCGCAAUUUAGUUUCAGCUAAACAGCAUCAUCUGUCGUAUUAAUGUUCAUUUGAAUGUACUGGGUUUAUUUGCAUUUAGUUGUAAACUCUUUUAGUUUCAGGGUUGUAUUAGAGAUAAAAGCACAUGGAGUUCAUACUUUAUUUUAUACUUGAGUACAUUUAAUACUUAAAAGUUUUAAGCCAACACUAAAGGUGUGCAAAUUUCUUUUUCUUUAUGGGAUCUCUAUGGGAUUUGAUCCUGAGAAACACUGAUGUUUGUUAGAGUGUAGUGUAAAUAAUGUUGGGGUAAUGCCUGAUUGUAUGAUUCUAAUAUAUUGGCAUGUGCCCACUGUGUACAGGGCACUUGCUGGGCACAAACAGUGAUAGAAUGUAAGCUAUGUCUAGUUAGGGAAGCUAGGAGGAGUGUAUGGGAUGUGUGUGUGUGUGUGUGUGUGUGAGAGAGAGAGAGAGAGAGAUCACCACCAGUAUAGGGUGGCACUGAGUAUGGAGUGAGCAGUACAAAAACUAUCAUAAGAAUUCCAGAGAGGGCCUGAUUGCAGGUGGCUGAAAUUCGGUUUUGUCGGGACAAGAGAUUUGAGGUAAGCCUUAAGUAAAGAUGGUAGAGGGCAUUCCAGUUUUGGGAAAUGAGUGUCUAGAAGUAAGGAAUAGUGUAAGCAAAGGAGGCAGCUAUUUCCAUUAUAUUCAGUCGUCUGUUGCUUAAUUUAGAGCAAAAUAUUAAAAUAAAAAAAACUUGCCUAAAACGAGCAACAUAUUAUGUAUUGGUCAGAAGUUCACCUUUUGCUUCCACAGUGGCUAUGACAUAGCUUCUAUGUGCUCUUCCUCCUUUGGAAACUUCCAAGUAGCCUGGAAUCAUGGUACCUCCCUCAUUUUGAUUAGUGAACAUUGCCCCAAACUGGCAGUUCAGUGAUUUAAUUGGCCUUUUAAGUGGGUUCUCAAAUGCCAGUGUUUUAUAAAUUGGACAGUCACGGAUUCUGUCUCAGAUUAAUGUAAAAGUGGGUAAAAUUUUGUCCAUGU